GGGUCAUCUGUUGGGUAGAACGACUAGGUUAGCUGUCCUGAGACGCACACCGGGAAGCAUGGCCAUAUGCCAAGAGUGAAGCAGCUUUCCUCCACUAUGCCCGUCUGGCAUGAUGUUUCUGCCUUGGAAGCAGCCAAUGAUAGACUGAAACCACUGAAAGCAUGAGCAAAAAUAUACUUCCCCUCAGCUUAGUUGCGGAUGUCAACUACUUUGUUCCAGUAAUUGAAAGAUGCCAUGAAUCGAGCAGCUUUUCUCCACCAUACCCUUCUACUAUGAUGUAUCUGUCUUGCAGAGAGCUGAC